UAAGACCCCACAAACUGAAAUGAAAUAUAAUAGUUUUGGGGUGAAUCAAGCAUGUGACUGUAUGAUGAUAGUAGUUGUUGGAAUUAGCCAUCUCUAUGGUGCUCAUCAAAAGUGAAACUAUAGUUGAUAAAUCCUAACUUAGGUAGAUUUUGAUAAUUAGAUAAUAUUCAACUAAUUUUGCAUCUUUCGGAUUCCUUGCCAUCCUAAUCUUUUCUGUGGCUGAGAAAUCUUAAACUAUUGAUGCCAAGUGGGAAACUUGGAUGUACGAGGCUCGGACUUUUUUCCACUAAGAUUCUUUUAAUUGAUAUUUAAAAAUCAUUUUCACACCAUAUUCUAGAAAAGAAAUAAGGUAAACAUGUAGUAAUGGUCAAUGAUAUCAAGGUUGAAGAAUUAGGUCAUAAUGGAAAAUUAUGUACAC
rnacentral:lncRNA from 1 species